rnacentral:rRNA from 1 species
UGGGGAAUAUUGCACAAUGGGCGAAAGCCUGAUGCAGCGACGCCGCGUGAAGGAUGAAGUAUUUCGGUAUGUAAACUUCUAUCAGCAGGGAAGAAAAUGACGGUACCUGACUAAGAAGCCCCGGCUAACUACGUGCCAGCAGCCGCGGUAAUACGUAGGGGGCAAGCGUUAUCCGGAUUUACUGGGUGUGAAGGGAGCGUAGACGGCGAUGCAAGCCAGAUGUGAAAGCCCGGGGCUCAACCCCGGGACUGCAUUUGGAACUGUGUGACUGGAGUGUCGGAGAGGCAAGUGGAAUUCCUAGUGUAGCGGUGAAAUGCGUAGAUAUUAGGAGGAACACCAGUGGCGAAGGCGGCUUGCUGGACGAUGACUGACGUUGAGGCUCGAAAGCGUGGGGAGCAAACAGG